ACACAUGCAAGUCGAACGAAGCAUUUGGGACAGAUUUCUUCGGAUUGAAGUUGCUUAUGACUGAGUGGCGGACGGGUGAGUAACGCGUGGGUAACCUGCCUCACACAGGGGGAUAGCAGUUGGAAACGGCUGAUAAUACCGCAUAAGCGCACAGUACCGCAUGGUACAGUGUGAAAAACUCCGGUGGUGUGAGAUGGACCCGCGUCUGAUUAGCUUGUUGGCGGGGUAACGGCCCACCAAGGCAACGAUCAGUAGCCGACCUGAGAGGGUGACCGGCCACAUUGGGACUGAGACACGGCCCAGACUCCUACGGGAGGCAGCAGUGGGGUAUAUUGCACAAUGGAGGAAACUCUGAUGCAGCGACGCCGCGUGAGUGAAGAAGUAAUUCGAUAUGUAAAGCUCUAUCAGCAGGGAAGAUAGAGACGGUA
rnacentral:rRNA from 1 species